rnacentral:rRNA from 1 species
AACGAACGCUGGCGGCGUGCCUAACACAUGCAAGUCGAGCGCGAAAGUUCCUUCGGGAAUGAGUAGAGCGGCGGACGGGUGAGUAAUACGUGGGUAAUCUGCCCCCGAGCUCGGGAUAACAGUGCGAAAGCGCUGCUAAUACCGGUUAAGACCACAUGACACAUGUCGUGCGGUAAAAGGUGGCUUUAUUUUCGGAUGAGGCUAUCACUUGAGGAUGAGCCCAUGGCCUAUCAGCUUGUUGGUGAGGUAAAAGCUCACCAAGGCGAUGACGGGUAGCUGGUCUAAGAGGACGACCAGCCACACUGGGACUGAGACACGGCCCAGACUCCUACGGGAGGCAGCAGUGGGGAAUAUUGGGCAAUGGGCGAAAGCCUGACCCAGCGACGCCGUGUGGGCGAUGAAGGCCUUCGGGUUGUAAAGCCCUGUGAGGUGGAAAGAAGGGUCCAGAGGUUAAUACCCUUUGGACUUUGACGGUACCACCAGAGGAAGCACCGGCUAACUCCGUGCCAGCAGCCGCAGUAAAAC